rfam:Triticum aestivum genome assembly, contig: Triticum_aestivum_CS42_TGACv1_scaffold_081009_1DS
AGAUGCGAUCAUACCCGCACUAAAGCACUCGAUCUCAUCAGAACUCUGAAGUUAAGCGUGCUUAGGCGAGAGUAGCACUAGGAUGGAUUACCUCCGUCACGUCCUCGUGUUGUAUUCC